UACGUAGGGUGCAAGCAUUAAUCGGAUUUAUUGGGCGUAAAGGGCGCGUAGGCGGGGAUGAAAGUCAGAUGUGAAAUCCCGGGGCUCAACCUCGGAACAGCAUUUGAAACUCCAUCUCUAGAGGGUAGGCGGAGAAAACGGAAUUCCACAAGUAGCGGUGAAAUGCGUAGAUAUGUGGAAGAACACCUGUGGCGAAGGCGGUUUUCUAGCUUAUACCUGACGCUGAUGCGCGAAAGCAAGGGGAUCAAACAGG
rnacentral:rRNA from 1 species